GGUUAAGUUAGAAAGGGCGCACGGUGAAUGCCUUGGCACUAGGAGCCGAUGAAGGACGGGACUAACACCGAUAUGCUUCGGGGAGCUGUAAGUGAGCUUUGAUCCGGAGAUUUCCGAAUGGGGAAACCCACUGUUCGUAAUGGAACAGUAUCUUUAUCUGAAUACAUAGGAUAUUGAAGGCAGACCCGGGGAACUGAAACAUCUAAGUACCCGGAGGAAGAGAAAGCAAAUGCGAUUUCCUGAGUAGCGGCGAGCGAAACGGAAUUAGCCCAAACCAAGAGGCUUGCCUCUUGGGGUUGUAGGACACUCUAUACGGAGUUACAAAGGAACGAAGUAAAUGAAGCGACCUGGAAAGGUCCGUCGAAGAAGGUAACAACCCUGUAGUUGAAACUUCGUUCCCUCUUGAGUGGAUCCUGAGUACGGCGGACCACGUGAAAUUCCGUCGGAAGCUGGGAGGACCAUCUCCCAAGGCUAAAUACUACCUAGUGACCGAUAGUGAACCAGUACCGUGAGGGAAAGGUGAAAAGCACCCCGGAAGGGGAGUGAAAGAGAUCCUGAAACCGUGUGCCUACAAGUAGUCAGAGCCCGUUAACGGGUGAUGGCGUGCCUUUUGUAGAAUGAACCGGCGAGUUACGAUCCCAUGCAAGGUUAAGCUGAUAAGGCGGAGCCGUAGCGAAAGCGAGUCUGAAUAGGGCGUUUAGUAUGUGGUUGUAGACCCGAAACCAGGUGAUCUACCCAUGUCCAGGGUGAAGUUCAGGUAACACUGAAUGGAGGCCCGAACCCACGCACGUUGAAAAGUGCGGGGAUGAGGUGUGGGUAGCGGAGAAAUUCCAAUCGAACCUGGAGAUAGCUGGUUCUCUCCGAAAUAGCUUUAGGGCUAGCCUCAUGUUGUGAGAGUCUUGGAGGUAGAGCACUGAUUGGACUAGGGGCCCCCAACGGGUUACCGAAUUCAGUCAAACUCCGAAUGCCAAAGACUUAUCCAUGGGAGUCAGACUGCGAGUGAUAAGAUCCGUAGUCAAAAGGGAAACAGCCCAGACCACCAGCUAAGGUCCCCAAGUAUACGUUAAGUGGAAAAGGAUGUGGAGUUGCUUAGACAACCAGGAUGUUGGCUUAGAAGCAGCCACCAUUUAAAGAGUGCGUAAUAGCUCACUGGUCGAGUGACUCUGCGCCGAAAAUGUACCGGGGCUAAACGUAUCACCGAAGCUGUGGAUUGACAUCUUUGAUGUCAGUGGUAGGAGAGCGUUCUAAGUGCAGCGAAGUCAGACCGUAAGGACUGGUGGAGCGCUUAGAAGUGAGAAUGCCGGUAUGAGUAGCGAAAGACAAGUGAGAAUCUUGUCCACCGAAUGCCUAAGGUUUCCUGAGGAAGGCUCGUCCGCUCAGGGUUAGUCGGGACCUAAGCCGAGGCUGAAAAGCGUAGGCGAUGGCCAACAGGUUGAUAUUCCUGUACCACCUCCCCGCCGUUUGAGUAAUGGGGGGACGCAGUAGGAUAGGGUAAGCGCGCUGCUGGAUAUGCGCGUUCAAGCAGUUAGGCUGAUGAGUAGGCAAAUCCGCUCAUCAUAAAGGCUGAGCUGUGAUGACGAGGGAAUUAUAGUACCGAAGUUCCUGAUUCCACACUGCCAAGAAAAGCCUCUAGCGAGGCGGGAGGUGCCCGUACCGCAAACCGACACAGGUAGGCGAGGAGAGAAUCCUAAGGUGAUCGAGAGAACUCUCGUUAAGGAACUCGGCAAAAUGACCCCGUAACUUCGGGAGAAGGGGUGCUCUGGUAGGGUGUAUAGCCCGAGAGAGCCGCAGUGAAUAGGCCCAGGCGACUGUUUAGCAAAAACACAGGUCUCUGCGAAGCCGCAAGGCGAAGUAUAGGGGCUGACGCCUGCCCGGUGCUGGAAGGUUAAGAGGAGGGGUUAUCCUUUGGGAGAAGCUCUGAAUCGAAGCCCCAGUAAACGGCGGCCGUAACUAUAACGGUCCUAAGGUAGCGAAAUUCCUUGUCGGGUAAGUUCCGACCCGCACGAAAGGCGUAACGAUCUGGGCACUGUCUCAACGAGAGACUCGGUGAAAUUAUAGUACCUGUGAAGAUGCAGGUUACCCGCGACAGGACGGAAAGACCCCGUGGAGCUUUACUGUAGCCUGAUAUUGAAUUUUGGUACAGCUUGUACAGGAUAGGUAGGAGCCUGAGAAACCGGAGCGCUAGCUUCGGUGGAGGCGUCGGUGGGAUACUACCCUGGCUGUAUUGAAAUUCUAACCCGCGGCCCUGAUCGGGCCGGGAGACAGUGUCAGGUGGGCAGUUUGACUGGGGCGGUCGCCUCCUAAAAUGUAACGGAGGCGCCCAAAGGUUCCCUCAGAAUGGUUGGAAAUCAUUCGUAGAGUGUAAAGGCACAAGGGAGCUUGACUGCGAGACCUACAAGUCGAGCAGGGACGAAAGUCGGGCUUAGUGAUCCGGUGGUUCCGCAUGGAAGGGCCAUCGCUCAACGGAUAAAAGCUACCCCGGGGAUAACAGGCUUAUCUCCCCCAAGAGUCCACAUCGACGGGGAGGUUUGGCACCUCGAUGUCGGCUCAUCGCAUCCUGGGGCUGUAGUCGGUCCCAAGGGUUGGGCUGUUCGCCCAUUAAAGCGGUACGCGAGCUGGGUUCAGAACGUCGUGAGACAGUUCGGUCCCUAUCCGUCGUGGGCGUAGGAAAUUUGAGAGGAGCUGUCCUUAGUACGAGAGGACCGGGAUGGACACACCGCUGGUGUACCAGUUGUCUUGCCAAAGGCAUCGCUGGGUAGCUAUGUGUGGACGGGAUAAGUGCUGAAAGCAUCUAAGCAUGAAGCCCCCCUCAAGAUGAGAUUUCCCAUAGCGCAAGCUAGUAAGAUCCCUGAAAGAUGAUCAGGUUGAUAGGUCAGAGGUGGAAGCGUGGCGACAUGUGUAGCUGACUGAUACUAAUCGAUCGAGGACUUAACCA
rnacentral:rRNA from 2 species